AUUGAACGCUGGCGGCAUGCCUUACACAUGCAAGUCGAACGGCAGCACGGGAGCAAUCCUGGUGGCGAGUGGCGAACGGGUGAGUAAUAUAUCGGAACGUGCCCAGUCGUGGGGGAUAACGUAGCGAAAGCUACGCUAAUACCGCAUACGAUCUAUGGAUGAAAGCGGGGGAUCGCAAGACCUCGCGCGAUUGGAGCGGCCGAUAUCAGAUUAGGUAGUUGGUGAGGUAAAGGCUCGCCAAGCCGACGAUCUGUAGCUGGUCUGAGAGGACGACCAGCCACACUGGGACUGAGACACGGCCCAGACUCCUACGGGAGGCAGCAGUGGGGAAUUUUUGGGACAAUGGGCGCAAGCCUGAUCCAGCAAUGCCGCGUGCAGGAUG
rnacentral:rRNA from 1 species